GGAUGAACGCUGGCGGCGUGCUUAACACAUGCAAGUCGAACGAUGAAGGCUGGAGCUUACUCUGGCUGGAUUAGUGGCGAACGGGUGAGUAACACGUGAGUAACCUGCCCCAGACUCUGGGAUAAGCGCUGGAAACGGCGUCUAAUACCGGAUACGAGCUUCCACCGCAUGGUGAGGAGCUAGGAAAG
rnacentral:rRNA from 1 species